UACGUAGGGUGCAAGCGUUAUCCGGAAUUAUUGGGCGUAAAGAGCUCGUAGGCGGUUUGUCACGUCUGCUGUGAAAACUGGAGGCUCAACCUCCAGCCUGCAGUGGGUACGGGCAGACUAGAGUGCGGUAGGGGGAGAUUGGAAUUCCUGGUGUAGCGGUGGAAUGCGCAGAUAUCAGGAGGAACACCGAUGGCGAAGGCAGAUCUCUGGGCCGUAACUGACGCUGAGGAGCGAAAGCAUGGGGAGCGAACAGG
rnacentral:rRNA from 1 species